AAGCUCAGCACAGAAGGAGAAAGGACAGCAUGGCUGACGGCUGUGAUAGGAAGGAUUCUGGAUCCCAGGCUCAUCUCCACAGAGGAGAACAUGCAGGCAGCACAGGCCAUGGGGCCCCUCUCAGCGCCUCCCUGCACACUGCACAUCACCUGGAAGGAUCUCCUGCUCAUAGCAUCGCUUUUAAUCUUCGGAACCCGCCCACCACUGUGAAGUCACGAUUGAAGCACAGCCAAACAAAGUUUCAGGGAAGGAUGUUCUUCUACUUGUCCACAAUUUGCCCCAGAAUCUUACUGGCUACAUCUGGUAUAAAGGGCAAAAAAUGGACCUCCACCAUUACAUUACAUCAUAUGUAAUAGGCUGAAACAAUUAUAGCUGGGCCUGCAUACAGUGGGCGAAAUAGUAUAUUCCAAUGCAUCUCUACCCAGUCCAGAAUGUCACCGGAAGGACACAGGAUCCACCACCAUACAAACCAUAAAGCAAGGUGAUAACAGUAAAGGAGUAAUUGGACAUUUCACCUUAUACAUUGAUCUGGAUAUUCCCAAGCCCUCCAUCUCCAGCAACUUAAACCCCAGGAGGCGUGUUUGGGAGACUGUGAUCUUAUCCUGCAUGAUCCUGACGCACUCAGGAUGUAAGCGCUUGCCUGUGUAAUUGGAUAAAUGGUCAGAACCUCCCUAUCAGUCAUAAGUUGCAGCUGUCCGAAAACAACAGGACCCUCAUUCUAUUUGGUGUCACAAAGGAUACUGCAGGACCCUAUGAAUGUGAAAUGAAGAACACAGUGAGUUCCAGCCGCAGUGACCCAGUCACCCUGAAUCUCCUACAUGGCCCAGAUUGCCCCAGCAUUUUCCCUUCACUCACCAAUUACCGUUCAGGAGAUAACCUCUACCUGUACUGCUUUGCGAACUCUAACCCACCGGCAGAGUAUACUUGGACGGUUAAUGGGAAGAUUCUGCAAACAGGACAAGAGCUCUUUAUCCCCCAUAUUAGUACAAAGCAUAACGGGAUCUAUGGUUGCUCUGCUCGUAACUCAGCCACUGGCAAGGAAUGUUCCACAUUCAAGAUUGUCAUAGUCUCUGCUCCUCCAGGAAAUGAAUAUCUAUCCUGGCAUAUUCCGACAUAACAACCGUGAUGUCAUCUCUGUAUUUCAGGAAGACUGGCAGGUAUGAUGGCUUUUUCUCUUGUCCCGUUUCCUGCAGGACUGACUGCCAUGCUUGGGAGAGGGAAAAUACUUAUUUGUCUGUAUCUGGGACUGGAUCGCCUCCUUCCUCCACCAAACUCCUGCUUCUCAGCACUAAUUCCUGCAGUUCCCUUUCUCCCUGACCUUUAACUCCCUGUACCCCCACUGUCUUUUAGACAUAAUUAUCUCCAGCCUCUGUUCGUUUGUUUCUCAGAUUCAAACGAGAAACACAAUUUCACAUUGUGAAACCUUCUUCAUUAUUUUUCACAUCUCUCAAUAGUGCAAUUCUCUCCAUUCCCAUAAAGACCAACCACUUCUCAAAGUGUUGCUUGACUUCUUGUCUCCAGACUUUGAAACCUUCCUUGCAUAUUACUGCCUCAUUACCUUUCUAAAAUCUAGUUAAUUCACUUAAUCAAGAAUCUCCAAGGGUCUACUCUAGCCUCUUUGUAAGUUCACAUUUCUUCUAUUUACUAAUCCUUCUCACUUCCUUUACCUCUUCUUCCUAGUAUAAUUCCUCCAUCUUAAUCAGAACUGUCUUCCUACACAUCCCUGCCCCUUCACCCAUAUAGACAUGAAAUUCUUAGUUUCAAUGCUAAGCCCGAAAACAGGGUGAACUCCCCUCCACCAUCUGCACUACAGACUUAACCAAACCCUUCAUCACAAGCAAUCUCUGACCUCGUGGAGAACAAAGACUUUAGGAUUAGCCUGUGAACCUGAGACUCAGAACAAAAACUAUGUGUGCUUGAGACCCUUUCCUGAUGAACAAUUCACGUAUUCAAAAAAGAUACAGAAAUGAAGAUGGCAAGGUCCCUACCCCAGGGGAUAUAAACCCUAAGACAGGAAAUGACACCUGAAAAUAAUCAUGAUACCAAAAUAGAAAAAAAGUGAAGGCCCCAAGAAAUCAGAGAAAUCUGAUGGAAAAUAUAGCUACACAUUGGAAUCACUGGAAAACAUUUUUUAAAGUGGAUGCUCAAGCCCCACCCAUGAGUUCCACUUUAAAGGUCUAGAGAGGGACCCAGGCACUGGUAAUUUUUAAAUCUUCCCUGACACUACUAACAUGUAACGAGGAUGGAGAACUCUUGUUGUAAUAGGUAGAACUUAAAACUAAAUCAAUGAUUUUCAGCUAGAAGAAACGGAAUGACCUAAGGACCUUUUUCAACAUACAUAAGACUAUACUUUUUUGGCCAUAAUUAUUAAUGGGCUACACCAAGAACUCAGUAAUCCAGUUAGGAAACAGAAGCUGAAUGCAGAAGCCACCUUAUUUUUAAGUGAUGCUAAACCUUCUCUAAAUAAUAUUUAUGGGAAUGUUAAUAAUAUGAGUAUUCUAGGCUGGGCGCAGUGGCUCACGCCUGUAAUUCCAGCACUUUGGGAGACCAAGGUGGGCAGAUCAUGAGGUCAGGAGAUC